GUCAGGAUGGCUGAGCAGUCUAAGGCACUGCAUUCAGGUUGCAGUCUCCCUGGGAGAUGUGGGUUCAAAUCCCACUUCCGACA
rnacentral:tRNA from 1 species